GACGAACGCUGGCGGCGUGCUUAACACAUGCAAGUCGAGCGGAGCGGCGAACGGGUGCGUAACGCGUGCGUAACUGCCCCCCUCUCUGGGAUAACAUUUGGAACCGGCUGCUAAUCCCGGCUCGUGGGGGAUGACUCGGGUCCUAUCAGCUUGUUGUUGGGGUAGUGGCCUACCAAGGCUACGACGGGUAGCCGGCCUGAGAGGGCGACCGGCCAGAUUGGGCUGGGAUACGGCCCAAACGCCUACGGGAGGCAGCAGGGGGGAAUAUUGCACAAUGGGGGAAACCCUGAUGCAGCAACGCGCGGGGGGGAUGACGGCCUUCGGGUUGUAAACCGCUUUCAGCGAUGACGCGGUAGUGGCAGAAGAAGCACCGGCUAACUACGUGCCAGCAGCCGCGGUAAUAC
rnacentral:rRNA from 1 species